ensembl:snoRNA SNORD38B small nucleolar RNA, C/D box 38B
UCUCAGUGAUGAAAACUUUGUCCAGUUCUGCUGCUGACUUGAAGUGAUGAUAAAGUCUGUCUGAGAAGA